rnacentral:rRNA from 1 species
GGUUAAGCGACUAAGCGUACACGGUGGAUGCCCUGGCAGUCAGAGGCGAUGAAGGGCGUGCUAAUCUGCGAUAAGCGCCGGUAAGGUGAUAUGAACCGUUAUAACCGGCGAUACCCGAAUGGGGAAACCCAGUGUGAUUCGUCACACUAUCAUUAACUGAAUCCAUAGGUUAAUGAGGCGAACCGGGGGAACUGAAACAUCUAAGUACCCCGAGGAAAAGAAAUCAACCGAGAUUCCCCCAGUAGCGGCGAGCGAACGGGGAGGAGCCCAGAGCCUGAAUCAGCAUGUGUGUUAGUGGAAGCGUCUGGAAAGGCGCGCGAUACAGGGUGACAGCCCCGUACACAAAAGCGCAUAUGCUGUGAGCUCGAUGAGUAGGGCGGGACACGUGGUAUCCUGUCUGAAUAUGGGGGGACCAUCCUCCAAGGCUAAAUACUCCUGACUGACCGAUAGUGAACCAGUACCGUGAGGGAAAGGCGAAAAGAACCCCGGCGAGGGGAGUGAAAAAGAACCUGAAACCGUGUACGUACAAGCAGUGGGAGCCCCACCACUAAGCCAGUGGUGAACUCCACAUACGCAUCCUUUGCUGAGGAGACGGUUAACGGAGCGAAAGCGACGUUCAACCUCAAAAGAAGCAGAGGGGGCUUAGUGGUGGGGUGACUGCGUACCUUUUGUAUAAUGGGUCAGCGACUUAUAUUCUGUAGCAAGGUUAACUGUAUAGGGGAGCCGGAGGGAAACCGAGUCUUAACCGGGCGUUAAGUUGCAGGGUAUAGACCCGAAACCCGGUGAUCUAGCCAUGGGCAGGUUGAAGGUUGGGUAACACUAACUGGAGGACCGAACCGACUAAUGUUGAAAAAUUAGCGGAUGACCUGUGGCUGGGGGUGAAAGGCCAAUCAAACCGGGAGAUAGCUGGUUCUCCCCGAAAGCUAUUUAGGUAGCGCCUCGUGAAUUCAUCUCCGGGGGUAGAGCACUGUUUCGGCUAGGGGGCCAUCCCGGCUUACCAACCCGAUGCAAACUGCGAAUACCGGAGAAUGUUAUCACGGGAGACACACGGCGGGUGCUAAUGUCCGUCGUGAAGAGGGAAACAACCCAGACCGCCAGCUAAGGUCCCAAAGUCAUGGUUAAGUGGGAAACGAUGUGGGAAGGCCCAGACAGCCAGGAUGUUGGCUUAGAAGCAGCCAUCAUUUAAAGAAAGCGUAAUAGCUCACUGGUCGAGUCGGCCUGCGCGGAAGAUGUAACGGGGCUAAACCAUGCACCGAAGCUGCGGCAGCGACACCGUGUGUUGUUGGGUAGGGGAGCGUUCUGUAAGCCUGUGAAGGUGUGCUGUGAGGCAUGCUGGAGGUAUCAGAAGUGCGAAUGCUGACAUAAGUAACGAUAAAGCGGGUGAAAAGCCCGCUCGCCGGAAGACCAAGGGUUCCUGUCCAACGUUAA